CCAUCCACAUCAAUAUAAGAUGCUCAGAGCAACUGCUUGGCAGCGGCUCUGUAAGAUGACGUGGUAUAAGGAGCGACCAUGGUAGGGAGUAGUAUAAAUAGCCAAUAGGA